rfam:Omnitrophica WOR_2 bacterium RBG_13_44_8b RBG_13_scaffold_4931, whole genome shotgun sequence.
NNNCCUCUAGCUCAUCUGGUAGAGCACCACCCUUUUAAGGUGGGUGUGCCGCGUUCGAGCCGCGGGAGGCUCA